rnacentral:rRNA from 1 species
AUUGAACGCUGGCGGCAGGCCUAACACAUGCAAGUCGAGCGGGGGAAGGUAGCUUGCUACUGGACCUAGCGGCGGACGGGUGAGUAAUGCUUAGGAAUCUGCCUCUUAGUGGGGGACAACAUCUCGAAAGGGAUGCUAAUACCGCAUACGUCCUACGGGAGAAAGCAGGGGAUCUUCGGACCUUGCGCUAAUAGAUGAGCCGAAGUCGGAUUAGCCAGGUGGUGGGGUAAAGGCCUACCAAGGCGACGAUCUGUAGCGGGUCUGGGAGGAUGAUCCGCCACACGGGGACUGAGACACGGCCCAGACUCCUACGGGAGGCAGCAGUGGGGAAUAUUGGACAAUGGGGGGAACCCUGAUCCAGCCAUGCCGCGUGUGUGAAGAAGGCCUUAUGGUUGUAAAGCACUUUAAGCGAGGAGGAGGCUACUUUAGUUAAUACCUAGAGAUAGUGGACGUUACUCGCAGAAUAAGCACCGGCUAACUCUGUGCCAGCAGCCGCCGUAA